rnacentral:lncRNA from 1 species
GACCCUUCUGCGACGAGCUUAAGGAAGGAAGCCGCGGGAGGAGGCUCUCAGAGCAGAGAGAAAGAAAAGUUGUGUCAAGCAGAACUUUUUCUCAUUAAUAACACUGAGACCAUUCUUAAACUCCACCUUCUCUGGCGACACUACACACGGCUAUACUUCAUCUUCUCUCCACAUCCCUAAAGAAAUGAGAGACUCAGAAAGACACCCUGAGGUCUUAGAAUUUGCUUCCUACUGAUCAUGAACCAUCCUAAGGCUUGCUACAUCAUCUGCAAGAUGCAGGUCCUCAUGUGGCCCACCAGAGGGGCCCGAGCUGCUGCGGGUCAGAAAUACCAGCUCGGCUGUAUGGCGAUCUCACUCUGGUUGAGUGUUCUUUCUCGAAGCCUCAGUUCCAGGCAUUCCACGGUCUCUGUGACUGCUCCUCUCCAAACCAUUUCCCUCCAUAUUCUGAAGCCACCAUCUUGGCCCACGCUGCUUCUGUCUUACUGUCUGGACAGCGCUUAAAGGGAGGCUCCUCUUGUAAUGUGGGCGUCGGGAAGAUUCUGUUAAUACAUGGAAGGAGAGGUUCUACUCCAUUGAGACCGUCUACCACUGUCAUUUACGACUCCCUGCCCUGGUCACUCUGCUCUUCUGGACUCUUCCUCGCCCUACUUUAACCCUGGAUCAACCACUUCAGACACACCAUCUCCCCUGCCAGUCCCAAGCACAGCAGGCUGGCUCUCUCUGAUAGUCCCCAGAGGUUCGAACUUCUCCUGUAACCCUCUUCUCUCCCAGAGACACACAGCCCAGCCCCGGUCGACACCUCAAGGUCAUGUUCUCAGAAAGACCUAUGUAAUGGCUAUUCCUGUUUGUCAACUUGACUCUAUCUGGAAUGACCUACAAUCCAGAAUUGGAGGGCUCACCUGUGAUCCAGAUCUUGAGGCUGGAAGACACAAGUUUCUGACCUCAAUCUUAGCAUGGAGAUCUUGAGGCACAGUGGCCAUGAAAAGCUUAGGUCCAGGCAAGGUUGUAUAUGUCUUUAAUCUCAGGAGACUUGAGACAAGGAGAUCUCUGAGUUUAAGGUCAGCCUGGGACAAAAGCAAGUCCCAGAUCCAGGCAUGGUGGUAACACACCUUUAAUCUGGGCCACACCUUCUGCUGGAGGCCUACAUAAAGACAUUGGAAGGAGGAAGAUUCCCUCUUCUUUGCACUUAGCUGCCAGCACAUCUGUUGGAACCUUCUUCUACAGAUGACCAGCUGAAACAACUAGCUGGUGGGACUGAGAACUACAAGAUUCUUGGACUUCCCAUUCACAGCUGAGCAUUGUGGGACUACAGACUGUAAGUCCUCACAAUACAUCCCCUUCAUAUAGAGAGACAUUCCCUAAGCACUGUGACCUAGAGAACCCUGACUAAUGCAGCCUACCCAACUGCCCUCCCUCCCUCACUUGUGUUUUAGGAUUUAUUGUCAAUUGACGAGUGUGCAUGUGUGUAUAUGUACACGUGUAAACACACACAGAGCGCAUGCAUAGAUGUAUGCAUCAUAUAGAUAACAUACACAUAAAUAUUAUACAAUUAUAGAUAAUCUUUACAAAGUUAUAGUUUCAUUUAUGCAUUAAUUUUUGUUUCAUAAAUACAUAUUAAAAUGUGUAAGGCUA